CUGUAUAUGUGAGUCUCUAUGUGAAUCUGUUUGUCGGCAUGUGUGUCUGUAUGUGUAUCUGUAUGUCUGCAUAUUUGCCCUAUGUAUCCGCAUGCGUGUCACUGUUUGUAUCUAUAUAAGUGUAAUUUUGUGUAUCUGAAUGUUUGUCCUUAAGUGUAUGUGUAUUUGCAUGUGUGUGUAUAUAUGUGUAUCUGUAUUUUCGCAUGUGUGUC